AAUAGAUACCCCGGUAGUCCAUGCCGUAAACGUUGGGCGCUAGAUGUGGGGACCAUUCCACGGUUUCCGUGUCGCAGCUAGCGCAUUAAGCGCCCCGCCUGGGGAGUACGGCCGCAAGGCUAAAACUCAAAGGAAUUGACGGGGGCCCGCACAAGCGGCGGAGCAUGCGGAUUAAUUCGAUGCAACGCGAAGAACCUUACCAAGGCUUGACAUAUACGAGAACGCUCUAGAAAUAGAGAACUCUUUGGACACUCGUAUACAGGUGGUGCAUGGUUGUCGUCAGCUCGUGCCGUGAGAUGUUGGGUUAAGUCCCGCAACGAGCGCAACCCUCGUUCUAUGUUGCCAGCGGUUCGGCCGGGAACUCAUAGGAGACUGCCGGGGUCAACUCGGAGGAAGGUGGGGAUGACGUCAAAUCAUCAUGCCCCUUAUGUCUUGGGCUUCACGCAUGCUACAAUGGCCGGUACAAAGGGCUGCAAUACCGUAAGGUGGAGCGAAUCCCAAAAAGCCGGUCUCAGUUCGGAUUGAGGUCUGC
rnacentral:rRNA from 1 species